GUCGUCGUCGCCGAAGGACUGGCGCUACUGCCGCCGCCCCCCCGCUUCCACAUCGCGCGCAUGCGCAGACACCUCCCUUGCCUUCCUGCGCUCCCUGGUCCCGGGGCCGCACGGUACCCGCAGAGGGGAACGAAAAGGGCGGGAAAUGGGGGUACAAGCGCGAGGCGUUAGUGGUCCUGCGCCAGAGCAGAUUCUGAGGGGAAAUAAGGAAAAAUGCCUCCAGGAGCUGGGGCUGCAUGGAGGAAAGAUACACUCCCUCUAUCAUACCUCUCCUGCUAAAACAAAUCGCAAGACCUGGCAACAGCGAAAACGGCAGGUUUGGAGGUGCCAAUGUUAUUCCCACCAGCAGCCGCCUUUGUGGACAGAAAAUCACUGGGCCGUUUCAAAACAACUAGAGCUGUCCUCCUCACAGACUUCACCCUAGGACUGCAAUCAAUCCAUCACCUUUGCUAUUUUUGUUACAUUGUUGCUGUUGAAUUUGGAAAAGUGGACAUGAAUACAUCUUAUAAAGAAGGAAGACAUGAGGAUGGAGCACUUUAGAGCCUGGUUCAAUGCCCAGGGGACACAGCUACAACAACACUGGAAACAUGGGAGUCAGCAUCAUCAAUACCUGGAGAACAAAGGAAGCAGCAUUGGACUAGGGGAGAGAGCCUGACUGAAAGGGGUUCAACCAGUAAGCCUGCUGGAACAUGUGGUGGGGGAGACCUUUGCUUUAUAUUAAUUUAACUUCUUAAGUUAGGUGUUAGUUGCGUUUUGCCGUUUAUUUCCUUGUAACAAAUUCUGACUUAUAUGCCUCAUUACUUGUAGUCACUUAAAGUUUAUCUUCCUGUAGUUAAUAACAUGUGUUUUGUUGUUUGAUCUAAACCAGUGUGUUUGGAUUUAAGUGUUUGGGAAACUCCAUUUGGGAUAACAAGUUUUAUGCAUAUCAUUUUCUGUUAAUAAAUGACAGACUUUAUAUGAGCUUGUGUUGUCCAAGAGGGUGCUGGACAGUACAAGGUGCACAUUUCUGGGGGGAAAUCUGGAACUUGGGAGUUUGCUGCUGUUGCUCUAAAGUGUAAUACUGAGUGGGUCAUGAUAGCAGUCAUACAGUAUAGCUGGCAAUGAGUUACAUAAUGGAGGCUGUAUGAGAGCAGACCAGGAGUGGUUGGUCUCACAGCAAAGCAGUGUACAAGGCACCCCAGGUUGGGAAAUUGAGGGGGGAGUGUUAUCCAGCAAUCCAGAUUGUACCCUGGGUAAUUUCACAGUGGCUUAAGUGGAAAAACUGAAUUUGAAAGGUAACUGAUAAGAUAGGAGGAAAAGUGCUUGAGAAAAAAGGUCCCACUCAUCAGAAAUAAUUCUAACUACUUUGAACAAUAAAGGAUUGUGCAUGUUGAAUCUGUAGUAAUCCCAAACUAGCCAAAACCUGUUUUUUAGCUAAAAUAGUAAGACUCAGCAAAGCAUCACUUGUUUGUUGCGCUGUGUAAAAGAACCAGACUUGCAAUGGGUAUUUAUCAGAUCCUACCUGAUUAUGCUUGAGCAAGUCAGGAUGAGAGAGUUAUCCCCAGUACUGAUCCUUUCAUGAGUAUUCUGAUCAAAUGCUUAGGAAUGUUUGUUACUGUAUGGAUGUAGCAAUUGCUUAUUAUUUAGACAUGCUUGGAGCAAUUGUAUAAAUACCAUUUAGCCUUUACAAUGAAUAAAGGAAUUUAUGGUUGAAUUGGGAUCAUAGUGGUAUUGGAACAAACAAUGGUAUCAAUAAUCUUCCAACAGUAACAGACUGCAAAACCCAGUUAUGAUUCAACCUGAUGAUAUUCUGAACCAAAAGAACUAUCCACCAUGCUUGUAGCUGUUUCCAUCGCUUCCCACUCAGUCAGACAUUCUAGGCUUCAGAGUAACACCCAGAAUAACAAUCCUGGAAUAUUAUAUAGAUUGCAACUUCUGCUUUUAUUAAAUAUUUUUUUCUAGUUUGUGUUACCAGUUUUCAAGUAUACAAUUAUUGAUGUUUAAAAACAAAAGUGUAAAUAAAAUGUUAAAAAUACAUAAAUAGAACAAGGUAACAACACUUGAUUUAUAUAGUGCCUUUUAUAAGAGAAGCUUAAAGUCCUUUCCUAUAUUAAAUGAAAAAAACAAAAUUAUAGAAUUAAAAAUUUAUUAUAAACCAAAGUGCAACUGUACAAUGAGAAAUUCUGGAUGUGUAAUAGGCUGACAGUAAGGGAAGAAUGGAAGACUUCCCUGUGGAAAUAAUUUCAUAGAAGAAACAUAUGGAUGCUACAUAAGCAGAAAAUUCAGAAGCCUUUAUUAGUAGACUUUUGCAAAAUACAAUAUUAGAGUCAAAGUGUUGCAGAGGAACAGGGGAACUCAGUGCAUACAGUGAUUCAUUGCCUGCAGCCAUCUCAUCUCGGGCUGUGAUUUUAUAAGACAAGCAGGGUCAAGGCCUGACCGAUACUUGUGUGAGAGAUCUUCAAGUAAAGCACAACUGCUACAGGAAGUGGUAUUGAUGGUUCAAUGGAGAAGAGCACUUUCUCUUUUUAGGCCAUAUCAAUACUUAAAAGCAGGGGGGAUAAAAAUCAAUGAUUUUUUUUUUUUAAUUUAAAAAUUGGACUUUUAUUUAAAUUGGAUUUUUUUGAUA